AUGAAAUUAUCCUACAAAACUUACACCUCUACAUACACUUGCUGUCUAACAACUUUGUUUCUGUGAUGAUGAUGUGUUUGAUGCAUUCUUUUUCUGAUUUGAUCUCAUUUUGUUUUCUCUGUUUUGCAUGCACUAUUUUUUCUUAGAUCAAAAUCCCUGAAUGCAAUGAAUCACAAAUAGAAGAGUCUGUACAAGACAACUUGGUCGGGCUCGUAGUGAACUAACAGUUAGUUUAAAAUGAUAAUUGAAGGUUACAAAUGAAUUGGUUCCUCUGACUUCAUCAACUGAUUGAUCUUUAAUUCAAAAUUGAUGAUCGAGGGAUGGAAAGGAGUUGCAAUGUGGUCGAUUUAAUUUGUAGGAUUGGAGUGUGCAUGCUUUUGGUGAUUAAUAAAUGAAUUGGAGACCAAUUCAAUGCAGACAAAAGGUGUACAACAAGUUUCCUAACAUAAAAAUCUGAAAACUUUCUUAAAAGAUGACAUAGAACCCAGUCACACUAUUG